rnacentral:lncRNA from 1 species
CCAGCACAGAGCUGAGAUGGGGGAACUGCCAGCAAGUUGUGUGCGGUGCAGCUGAAUGGUAGAGCUUUUCUCUAGGACUAUGAAUAUUAUGAAGUGUAAUCUGAAAAUGGUCUGAAUUUCAGUGUUAUUCUUUUUUUUUUUUUUUUUCCUUCUUCUUCUUUUUUUUCAGAUUUACUUUCCGUGCUGUUACCGUCCCUUUUGCCUCUCCAUCAGAAGCACGGAGAUAUCUGCUGUAGUUUGGCAGUAUCACCCAUGAUUCAAUGAAGACUUUGCUGUAUGUAAAUACAACAGGACUGGAGUGGGAGUACUGGAAGACGACGGAAGAGAACAGCCACUGACAUGAAAGAUUGCAAGCUGGGACCUGGCUCAACUGAUCCAGAUGAGCUCCUUCUAUUGCAGUGUACCUGGGUGCUUCCAUUGUGCUGCCUGGAGAGCACAGGACUCCCUGGUAAAUGCUUGAAGGAACACCACACAUCCUCUGUACCUGGUCAUAGAAUCAUAGAAUCACCACAGCUGGAAAAGACCUACAAGAUUAUCCAUUCCAGCCGUCCAUCACCAACAGCUCUCACUAAGACAUGUCCUUCAACAUAACGUGUACAGCAGCUCCAGUAGCAGCCACAGCACACGAUGGUGACCUCUGAGAUCUGGGUGUGUUCUUCUGGAGUGCAGAGUGGCAACACACCGCUGCCCUGAAGGGAAGGACACAAACUGGAGGUGUGGUGGUGCUCAGGAUGUGUCCUUGCUUUGCAGAGUUUGACAAGCAUUUAUCAGUGCUUCACAACCUCAGUCUGUUUCAGUUUUCUUACUAACAGCUAUUUUUUGAACCUAAGGGAGAAACCACACCAUUUUACGCUGCAAAAAACAUGUGUUGUAGUUCGUGGCAAUAUUCCAGGCUUCCAGGUAACCGUUUUCAUCUUCAGGUCUCAAAGACAGUUAAUAGUCAAUAGUGAAUAAGUUCUGCCAUUGGGAGCAAUAUCCUGCUCCGGUGUUUGCAAAGCUACGCACAUCUGAUUGUUUUCAUGCAAGUGCUCUCCCUUACCACAGAAGUUGUUGUAAGAAGAAGAAAUAAAUGAUACUGGGAUGCAAAAUUCCCUCA